rnacentral:rRNA from 1 species
CCCUUUGUGACAUACCUAUAACUGUUGCUUCGGCGGGUAGGGUCUCCGCGACCCUCCCGGCCUCCCGCCUCCGGGCGGGUCGGCGCCCGCCGGAGGAUAACCAAACUCUGAUUUAACGACGUUUCUUCUGAGUGGUACAAGCAAAUAAUCAAAACUUUUAACAACGGAUCUCUUGGUUCUGGCAUCGAUGAAGAACGCAGCGAAAUGCGAUAAGUAAUGUGAAUUGCAGAAUUCAGUGAAUCAUCGAAUCUUUGAACGCACAUUGCGCCCGCCAGCAUUCUGGCGGGCAUGCCUGUUCGAGCGUCAUUUCAACCCUCAAGCUCUGCUUGGUGUUGGGGCCCUACAGCUGAUGUAGGCCCUCAAAGGUAGUGGCGGACCCUCCCGGAGCCUCCUUUGCGUAGUAACUUUACGUCUCGCACUGGGAUCCGGAGGGACUCUUGCCGUAAAACCCCCCAAUUUUCCAAAGGUUGACCUCGGAUCAGGUAGGAAUACCCGCUGAACUUAAGCAUAUCAA